rnacentral:tRNA from 1 species
ACCUGGGAUAGCUCAGCUGGUAGAGCAUGUGACCCUUAAUCUCAGGGUUGUGGGUUAGAGCCCCAUGUUGGGCA